UACGGGGGGGGCAAGCGUUGUUCGGAAUUACUGGGCGUAAAGGGCGCGUAGGCGGCUUUUCAAGUCGGGCGUGAAAUCUCCAGGCUUAACCUGGAAGGGUCGUUCGAUACUGUUAAGCUAGAGUGUGGAAGAGGCUACUGGAAUUCCGGGUGUAGCGGUGAAAUGCGUAGAUAUCCGGAGGAACACCGGUGGCGAAGGCGGCUUCCUGGACCGACACUGACGCUGAGGCGCGAAAGCUAGGGGAGCAAACGGG
rnacentral:rRNA from 1 species